ACAAGCGUUAAAUACUCUUCUCUCAGCUAGGAAAUUAUCUCUCAAAAAUCACGUCCUUUAUCGAUACAUCGCUUUAUUGGCCAGACUAGAAGACACGACAAUCGAUCAAUGUCCCAUGUUUGAUCGUGUCCAAACUAUGAACAUCAACACUCUCAGGAUCGUUCUAUUUCAAAGAACCAUUGAUUGCCUUGCUUUGCACUUGGGGAAUGUCCAAAAACUUAAUGCUAUACCCAAUCAAAUAUCUCAAAUUAGUGUUAAAAUGUUCCUUUAUGUCAAAGGAAAACGCUUGCUUGACAACGACACUUGUUCGAGGGAAAAGAAUCAGUUUUUGACGGCUACAGUAACAUUCAUAACCACAAACUAGGUUAGAGCUUCCGCAAUCUCGUGUUCGAGUGAAUCUUUUGUGCAGAGUUUGUAAAGAGGGAAAGGUGCAUCGUAACAAUAGGCAAUAACCAUUGUGUGAACCGAAUUCAAAGACCAUACGGCAAAGAACCUUUAUUCACAAUGCGAUCCUUGAUUCUCCUUGCCCUUCUUGCCAUGGUCCUGGCUAUGGCCUUUGCUGAGGCGGAUCCUCAACCCGAGGGUGAGGCGGACUCCGAAUCCGAGCCCGAGGGCGAACCCUACAAUGGAGCCGGAGGCAUGACCCCUUUGGCCUCUUUGCUUUUUUCGGCAUUGGCCUAUGCCCUGUAUCAAUAAAUUCUUUAUGAAGAGCGGAAGAGGACCGAAAAAGAAUCUGAAUAGUAAAUCACGUAUUGAUUCAGCUUUGCUGUCAUUUGUUUUGCCGUGAAAAUGAGUCCCUCAUCUGAUAAUAGAUAUCCUUUGGAAAAAUA